GAUGAACGCUGGCGGCGUGCCUAAUACAUGCAAGUCGAGCGAACAGACGAGGAGCUUGCUCCUUUGACGUUAGCGGCGGACGGGUGAGUAACACGUAGGUAACCUACCUAUAAUACUGGGAUAACUUCGGGAAACCGGAGCUAAUACCGGAUAAUAUUUCGAACCGCAUGGUUCGAUAGUGAAAUAUGGCUUUGCUAUCACUUAUCGAUGGACCUGCGCCGUAUUAGCUAGUUGGUAAGGUAACGGCUUACCAAGGCAACGAUACGUAGCCGACCUGCGAGGGUGAUCGGCCACACUGGAACUGAGACACGGUCCAGACUCCUACGGGAGGCAGCAGUAGGGAAUCUUCCGCAAUGGGCGAAAGCCUGACGGAGCAACGCCGCGUGAGUGAUGAAGGUCUUCGGAUCGUAAAACUCUGUUAUUAGGGAAGAACAAACGUGUAAGUAACUGUGCACGUCUUGACGGUACCUAAUCAGAAAGCCACGGCUAACUACGUG
rnacentral:rRNA from 1 species